rnacentral:rRNA from 1 species
AGUGAACGCUGGCGGUAGGCCUAACACAUGCAAGUCGAACGGCAGCACAGUAAGAGCUUGCUCUUACGGGUGGCGAGUGGCGGACGGGUGAGGAAUACAUCGGAAUCUACUUUUUCGUGGGGGAUAACGUAGGGAAACUUACGCUAAUACCGCAUACGACCUACGGGUGAAAGCAGGGGAUCUUCGGACCUUGCGCGAUUGAAUGAGCCGAUGUCGGAUUAGCUAGUUGGCGGGGUAAAGGCCCACCAAGGCGACGAUCCGUAGCUGGUCUGAGAGGAUGAUCAGGCACACUUGAAAUGAGACACGGGCCAAACCCCCACGGGAAGCAGCAGGGGGGAAUAUUUGACAAUGGGCGGAAGCCUGAUCCAGCCAUACCGCGUGGGUGAAGAAGGCCUUCGGGUUGUAAAGCCCUUUUGUUGGGAAAGAAGAGCAGCAGGUUAAUACCCCGCUGUUCUGACGGUACCCAAAGAAUAAGCACCGGCUAACUUCGUG